GUUGUCUGUGAUGCUUCAUCACGUGUAUUUGAGUUUCACUGACCAUGAGAAUACUUCACAUGCACUACCAUCUGAGACAAC